rnacentral:rRNA from 1 species
AACACGUAGUCAACCUAACCUAUGGACGGGGAUAACCUCGGGAAACUGAGAAUAAUACCCGAUAGAUCAUGAUACCUGGAACGGUUUAUGGUUCAAAUGAUUUAUCGCCAUAGGAUGGGACUGCGGUCUAUCAGCUUGUUGGUGAGGUAAUGGCCCACCAAGGCUAUAACAGAUACGGGCUCUGAGAGGAGGGGCCCGGAGAUGGGUACUGAGACACGGACCCAGGUCCUAUGGGGCGCAGCAGGCGAGAAACCUUUGCAAUGUGCGAAAGCACGACAAGGUUAAUCCGAGUGAUUCCUGCUAAAGGAAUCUUUUGUUAGUCAUAAAACCACUGAUGAAUAAGGGGUGGGCAAGUUCUGGUGUCAGCCGCCGCGGUAAUACCAGCGCCUCGAGUGGUCAGGAGGUUUAUUGGGCCUAAAGCAUCCGUAGCCGGCUGUUCAAGUUUCCGGUUAAAUCCACACGCUUAACGUAUGGGCUGCCGGAAAUACUGUUCAGCUAGGGAGUGGGAGAGGUAGACGGUACUCGAUAGGAAGGGGUAAAAUCCUUUGAUCUAUUGAUGGCCACCUGUGGCGAAGGCGGUCUACCAGAACACGUUCGACGGUGAGGGAUGAAAGCUGGGGGAGCAAACCGGAUUAGAUACCCGGGUAGUCCCAGCUGUAAACGAUGCAGACUCGGUGAUGCAUUGGCUUGUGGCCAGUGCAGUGCCGCAGGGAAGCCGUUAAGUUUGCCGCCUGGGAAGUACGUACGCAAGUAUGAAACUUAAAGGAAUUGGCGGGGGAGCACCACAAGGGGUGAAGCCUGCGGUUCAAUUGGAUUCAACGCCGGAAUCGGAUCCCGGGCC